UACAGAGGUCCCAAGCGUUGUUCGGAUUCAUUGGGCGUAAAGGGUGCGUAGGCGGCGCGGUAAGUCGGGUGUGAAAUCUCGGAGCUUAACUCCGAAACUGCAUUCGAUACUGCCGUGCUUGAGGACUGGAGAGGAGACUGGAAUUUACGGUGUAGCGGUGAAAUGCGUAGAUAUCGUAAGGAAGACCAGUGGCGAAGGCGG
rnacentral:rRNA from 1 species